rnacentral:rRNA from 1 species
GACAGAGGGUGCAAACGUUGUUCGGAAUUACUGGGCGUAAAGCGCGUGUAGGCGGCUUGGCAAGUCGGGUGUGAAAGCCCUGGGCUCAACCUAGGAAGUGCACUCGAAACUGCCUCGCUUGAGUGUCGGAGAGGAAAGCGGAAUUCUCGGUGUAGAGGUGAAAUUCGUAGAUAUCAGGAGGAACACCGGUGGCGAAGGCGGGUCUCUGGGCCGAUACUGACGCUGAGGAGCGAAAGCGUGGGGAGCAAACAGG